UAUUUAUAUGUAUUAAAUAUGUACUUGUGUUUGUACUGUGUAUGGAUUGUUGUGGCUGUGUUCCUGCUGCUGCUGCUGGAUAGGUUUGGCUCCAGCUUCCCUAUGGCUCAGCUCAGGGUUAGCAGGCUUGGAAAACGGAAGCACAUAUUAUUUGUUAUUACUACUUGACAAGUGACAACAUUUGAGAUUCGAUUGGUCCCAUUCGUUUUGUCUCUUCCCCAGUUGGAUAACAGACAUGGUGAAGUGACUCGCUCACGGUCCAGCAGUGUCAGUAAUGGGAUCUGAAGCCUCAGCGUCGGAAGUCCAGAGCCUUAAUCACUACGCCACCAUGCAACAGAGAGAAGACGCCCACUGAGGUCAACUGACUCCGCCCCUAACAGCUGGCGGACUAUGAAGGAGCAGACACCCCAGAGAAUGGCCUGAACUGCAAGCAGCAUGGAGCCCCGAAGACGACCUGCUUGUCACCGCUAAGAGAAAAUCACAAAAGUAAAGUCAUCUCUGAUGGAGGAGCACUGGAAUCAUCA